UCAGGAUGAACGCUAGCGGGAGGCCUAACACAUGCAAGUCGAGCGGGAAUCCCUUUCGGGGGAUGAGAGCGGCGCACGGGUGAGUAACGCGUAUGCAACCUGCCCCGGACAGGGGGAUAGCCCGGAGAAAUCCGGAUUAAUACCCCAUAUAAUUAUGAAGUCGCAUGAUUUUAUGAUUAAAGCUACGGCGGUUCGGGAUGGGCAUGCGUGACAUUAGCUUGUUGGUGAGGUAACGGCUCACCAAGGCUGCGAUGUCUAGGGGUUCUGAGAGGAUGAUCCCCCACACUGGUACUGAGACACGGACCAGACUCCUACGGGAGGCAGCAGUGAGGAAUAUUGGUCAAUGGGCGCAAGCCUGAACCAGCCAUCCCGCGUGAAGGAAGACGGCCCUAUGGGUUGUAAACUUCUUUUGUACAUGAAGAAAGGGACCUACGGGUAGGUUCG
rnacentral:rRNA from 1 species